GGGAAGAACAAAGUACCGUUCGAAUAGGGCGGUACCUUGACGGUACCUAACCAGAAAGACACGGCUAACUACGUGCCAGCAGCCGCGGUAAUACGUAGGUGGCAAGCGUUGUCCGGAAUUAUUGGGCGUAAAGGGCUCGCAGGCGGUUUCUUAAGUCUGAUGUGAAAGCCCCCGGCUCAACCGGGGAGGGUCAUUGGAAACUGGGGAACUUGAGUGCAGAAGAGGAGAGUGGAAUUCCACGUGUAGCGGUGAAAUGCGUAGAGAUGUGGAGGAACACCAGUGGCGAAGGCGACUCUCUGGUCUGUAACUGACGCUGAGGAGCGAAAGCGUGGGGAGCGAACAGGAUUAGAUACCCUGGUAGUCCACGCCGUAAACGAUGAGUGCUAAGUGUUAGGGGGUUUCCGCCCCUUAGUGCUGCAGCUAACGCAUUAAGCACUCCGCCUGGGGAGUACGGUCGCAAGACUGAAACUCAAAGGAAUUGACGGGGGCCCGCACAAGCGGUGGAGCAUGUGGUUUAAUUCGAAGCAACGCGAAGAACCUUACCAGGUCUUGACAUCCUCUGACAAUCCUAGAGAUAGGACGUCCCCUUCGGGGGCAGAGUGACAGGUGGUGCAUGGUGU
rnacentral:rRNA from 1 species